AUUGAACGCUGGCGGCAUGCCUUACACAUGCAAGUCGAACGGCAGCACGGGAGCAAUCCUGGUGGCGAGUGGCGAACGGGUGAGUAAUACAUCGGAACGUGCCCAGUAGUGGGGGAUAGCCCGGCGAAAGCCGGAUUAAUACCGCAUACGACCUGAGGGUGAAAGCGGGGGAUCGCAAGACCUCGCGCUAUUGGAGCGGCCGAUGUCGGAUUAGCUAGUUGGUGGGGUAAAGGCUCACCAAGGCAACGAUCCGUAGCUGGUCUGAGAGGACGACCAGCCACACUGGGACUGAGACACGGCCCAGACGCCUACGGGAGGCAGCAGUGGGGAAUUUUGGACAAUGGGCGCAAGCCUGAUCCAGCCAUGCCGCGUGCGGGAAGAAGGCCUUCGGGUUGUAAACCGCUUUUGUCAGGGAAGAAACGCUCUGGGCUAAUACCCCGGGGUAAUGACGGUACCUGAAGAAUAAGCACCGGCUAACUACGUGCCAGCCGCCGCAGUAAUAC
rnacentral:rRNA from 1 species